ACUCUUAUGAGGCCCCGUAAUUGGAAUGAGAACAAUCUAAAUCCUUUAACGAGGAUCUAUUGGAGGGCAAGUCUGGUGCCAGCAGCCGCGGUAAUUCCAGCUCCAAUAGCGUAUAUUAAAGUUGUUGUGGUUAAAAAGCUCGUAGUUGGAUCUCAGUUCGAGUCAGGCGGUCCACUUGCCAGUGGCUACUGCCUGACUGAACACUUUACCGAGUUGUCCUAUGGUGUUCUUCACCGAGCGUCAUAGGCGAUCGGUACGUUUACUUUGAAAAAAUUAGAGUGCUCAAAGCAGGCGUAACGCCCGAAUAAUGUUGCAUGGAAUAAUGGAAUAGGACCUCGGUUCUAUUUUGUUGGUCUUCGGAAUCAGAGGUAAUGAUCAAUAGGGACAGACGGGGACAUUCGUAUUGCGGCGCUAGAGGUGAAAUUCUUGGACCGUCGCAAGACGAGCUAAAGCGAAAGCAUUUGUCAAGAAUGUUUUCAUUAAUCAAGAACGAAAGUUAGAGGUUCGAAGGCGAUCAGAUACCGCCCUAGUUCUAACCAUAAACGAUGCCAACCAGUAAUUCGUCUGAGUUCCUUAAAUGACUCGACGAGGGACUUCCGGGAAACCAAAGUCUUUCGGUUCCAGGGGAAGUAUGGUUGCAAAGCUGAAACUUAAAGAAAUUGACGGAAGGGCACCACCAGGAGUGGAGCCUGCGGCUUAAUUUGACCCAACACGGGAAAACUCACCCGGCCCGGACACUGGAAGGAUUGACAGAUUGAGAGCUCUUUCUUGAUUCAGUGGGUGGUGGUGCAUGGCCGUUCUUAGUUGGUGGAGUGAUUUGUCUGGUUAAUUCCGAUAACGAACGAGACUCUAGCCUACUAAAUAGAUCGUCGGCUUACAAACGCCGGCGAGACUUCUUAGAGGGACAGGCGGUGAUUCAACCGCACGAAACAGAGCAAUAACAGGUCUGUGAUGCCCUUAGAUGUCCGGGGCCGCACGCGCGCUACACUGAAGUGAUCAGCGUGCUUUUUCAACCUACUCUGUCAAGAGUGGGGAACCCAAUGAACCUUCUUCGUGAUUGGGAUAGGGGAUUGUAAUUAUUCCCCUUGAACGAGGAAUUCCCAGUAAGCGCGAGUCAUAAGCUCGCGUUGAUUACGUCCCUGCCCUUUGUACACACCGCCCGUCGCUACUACCGAUUGAAUGUUUUAGUGAGGUCUUCGGACUGGCCGGCGCAGCACUCUCGUAGUGCAGCGCUGUGUUUGGAAAGAUGCCCAAACUUGAACAUUUAGAGGAAGUAAAAGU
rnacentral:rRNA from 1 species